GUUCUGAUUGGUUGCUAUGGGCCAAUCACAGUUAACGUUACAGUACCGGUUAGUUUGAGCUCUGCGGUGAACUUGAUGACUAGCUAGCAGUUAACAAGAUUAACGUCAUCCUCCAGCAGUGAAACCGGCAAAAAAAAAAGUUCACAAAGUCCAUUGAGGGUUAUUUCCUGUUGGCUAAAUGAAACACAAACACACCAACAACAACUGCCACAACCCAAAGAAGAAGAGGAUGUGAACUCUUUUGACCCGACCAGCUUGUGAAGGAAGAUCAUGACGACAUCUAAACACUGUGCACUGCACAGCCUCGUGGAAGAUGAUGACAACUAAAACACACAGAAAACAAAAGACUUGAACCAGCCAACAUGAUAAACUGAGAGGUCACAGGCAGUUUAAUCCUCUGCACAUUAAAUAUGAAUAAUGGAGCUAGUAGAGUCUAGUCAGUCUGGCUGUGUGUUGCUGAUGCUGUCUCGUAACAGGACUGAAUCUCUCUCUUUUAUAACAAGCACUCAGUCCAGCAGAGACUCUGUCACUGCGUGGAAUCAAUAAAUAAAAGGCUGUGUAUUCACAUUGACCAGAAGUCUCUGCUUUAUACCACUGUUUUACUAUAGACGGGUUUCUUGUAUACAAACAUUACUGAGUGCACAUUCAAGGGGCAAACGGUCACAAGAUUGUAGUUAACCGUCAAUACGUAGUCGCGUAACACUAUAACAAUUUAGGGCCAAGUCUUGGAUCACUUUUAAGUUUUAAGGCAUAGUUGCUAAACAUAUAUAAAUAUUUCCUCAGAGUGUGGUUGAUCACCCUGUUGUUGAUCAGUUCAUUUUCAUCGAUCUGUGGAGCAUGACAGCUCGCCAUGACCACCCACUGCCACGACCACCCGCUGCCAUGACCACCCGCUGCUUUUGCCCACUAGGUCUGGAUCCAUAAUCUCCUUCUGUUUUUAGUAAAGGUAUGUGAUGCCCUCAGAAUAUUAAACAUUUUACAUCCAUCUUUUCUUUGGUUGGUAGAGCAACAACUCCUCGUCAUCUCUGCUUUAGAGCUUGGCUCUGCCAGACACGUCGUGCUUUCUGCCCCUUAACUGCGCGCACAUCUCUGUGAUGACGUUGCACAGAAAGAAACCCGUCUAUACUAUUUGUUGGAUUUGUUUGCUUUCUCUCUACGGCUAAGUUUAGUCUG